rnacentral:rRNA from 1 species
GACGAACGCUGGCGGCGUGCUUGACACAUGCAAGUCGAACGGAAAGGCCUGCUUUCCCUUGUGGAUUGCGGGUACUCGAGUGGCGAACGGGUGAGUAACACGUGAGUGAUCUGCCCCCAACUUGGGUAUAAGCCUGGGAAACUGGGUCUAAUUCCCGAUAGGACUGCAGGGUGGUGCCUGUGGUGGAAAACGAUUUUCUAGUGGUUGGGGAUGAGCUCGCGGCCUGUCAGCUUGUUGGUGGGGUAAUGGCCUACCAAGGCGGCGACGGGUAGCCGGCCUGAGAGGGUGGACGGCCACAUUGGGACUGAGAUACGGCCCAGACGCCUACGGGAGGCAGCAGUGGGGAAUAUUGCACAAUGGGCGGAAGCCUGAUGCAGCGACGCCGCGUGGGGGAUGACGGCCUUCGGGUUGUAAACUCCUUUCGACCGCGAGGAAGCCACCUGGUUGGAAGGGUGGUGACGGUAGUGGUAGAAGAAGCACCGGCUAACUACGUG